CAAUAAUUCUUUUCUGUUUUUAAUUUCUAAGGACUUUUUGUCAGAAGCAUGGCAAGGAACUUCAGUCUGGCUUUCAAAAGUGCUGAACACUCAAAACUACUACCAAGGCCUCCUGGAAUUACAGGUGAAUGAACUCCAAUAUCUGCUGCAUGCCAGACUUGGUUCUCCUGGGUGGAAGUCUGGACUCUCCGG
rnacentral:lncRNA from 12 species